CACUUCGAUCGAAUCGCCUUAAAUGUGCCCGAUCUCGUCAGAUCUCGGAUGCUAAGCAGGUGCGAGCCUGGACAGUGGUUGGAUGGGCAGUCACCAUGGAUAAAAGCGGUGUUACAGGCA
rnacentral:rRNA from 1 species